ACGGGUGAGUAAUAUAUCGGAACGUACCCUAGAGUGGGGGAUAACGCAGCGAAAGUUGCGCUAAUACCGCAUACGAUCUACGGAUGAAAGUGGGGGAUCGCAAGACCUCAUGCUCAUGGAGCGGCCGAUAUCUGAUUAGCUAGUUGGUAGGGUAAAAGCCUACCAAGGCUUCGAUCAGUAGCUGGUCUGAGAGGACGACCAGCCACACUGGAACUGAGACACGGUCCAGACUCCUACGGGAGGCAGCAGUGGGGAAUUUUGGACAAUGGGCGCAAGCCUGAUCCAGCAAUGCCGCGUGAGUGAAGAAGGCCUUCGGGUUGUAAAGCUCUUUUGUCAGGGAAGAAACGGUGGACUCUAAUACAGAUCACUAAUGACGGUACCUGAAGAAUAAGCACCGGCUAACUACGUGCCAGCAGCCGCGGUAAUACGUAGGGUGCAAGCGUUAAUCGGAAUUACUGGGCGUAAAGCGUGCGCAGGCGGUUGUGCAAGAAGAUUGUGAAAUCCCCGGGCUCAACCUGGGAAUUGCAUUUGUGACUGCACGGCUAGAGUGUGUCAGAGGGGGGUAGAAUUCCACGUGUAGCAGU
rnacentral:rRNA from 1 species